ACGUAGGGUGCAAGCGUUGUCCGGAAUUAUUGGGCGUAAAGAGCUUGUAGGUGGUUUGUCGCGUCUGUUGUGAAAUUUCGGGGCUCAACCCCGAACUUGCAGUGGAUACGGGCAGACUAGAGUGUGGUAGGGGAGACUGGAAUUCCUGGUGUAGCGGUGAAAUGCGCAGAUAUCAGGAGGAACACCGAUGGCGAAGGCAGGUCUCUGGGCCAUUACUGACACUGAGAAGCGAAAGCAUGGGGAGCGAACAGGAUUAGAUACCCUGGUAGUCCAUGCCGUAAACGGUGGGAACUAGGUGUGGGUCUCAUUCCACGAGAUCCGUGCCGCAGCUAACGCAUUAAGUUCCCCGCCUGGGGAGUACGGCCGCAAGGCUA
rnacentral:rRNA from 1 species